UAGAGACUAUCUUAAUCGGUAAAGUACUAAACUCUGGAUUUAGUUUAUAAAGGUUCGACUCCUUUGUCUCUAG
rnacentral:tRNA from 1 species